rnacentral:rRNA from 1 species
UACAGAGGUCUCAAGCGUUGUUCGGAUUCAUUGGGCGUAAAGGGUGCGUAGGUGGCGUGGUAAGUCGGGUGUGAAAUUUCGGAGCUUAACUCCGAAACUGCAUUCAAUACUGCCGUGCUUGAGGACUGGAGAGGAGACUGGAAUUUACGGUGUAGCAGUGAAAUGCGUAGAGAUCGUAAGGAAGACCAGUGGCGAAGGCGGGUCUCUGGACAGUUCCUGACACUGAGGCACGAAGGCCAGGGGAGCAAACGGG